CGUGUCUCUUUUCGAUUUUACAAAGUGGCGCUCCUUGCAGCCCUGGCGAAAGGUUCUGCCGUGGGGUCUCCCAGCGCAGGGCCCUUCCCCAGUUCCCUAAAGAGGAGGCUCGUUUGGUGGACCAACCCCCAGCAGCGCGGGCCCAGCCCUGGCCUUUCUACUUGUCUUCCGAGGACCCUGCCCGCCGCCUUGGGUCCAGCCGUCGUCCAGGGGGCGGCGGUUCAGGGGAGACCGCGCGGCCUGGCCUGAGGCGCGGCCGCCCCGAUCCCUUCCCCGGACCUGGGGUGGGUCCCUGGCCCACAGGCUCAGGAGGAGCCGCAGCCCCGUCCCCGACGCGCUCACAAACGCCGCGGUCGCCCGAACCUUCGGCCCCGCCGCGUUCGGCCGCAGGACGGCGACACGACCGGGGCCCGGCUCUGCGCGCUGCGCUCCGACCGCCCGGCGCGGGAGGACGCGCGGCCGCGCCUGCCUCGGUGGCCGCGCGGGGUAGGUAGCUGCGGGGACCGGAAGGAUGGCGAGGAAGUCGGAGAGGGUUUCCUGAGAUGAGAGAUUACUUCCGUCCGGGCUGCGGCCUCUCUCUGGAGCCGGCUCGCAGGGGCUCGGGGAGCCGGGCGCGCGGGGCUCGGGGCCGCGCCUUGCCACCUGCAGUGCCCGGGCGGGCCGCGGGGGCUUUGGCGGGACGCGCUCGGCCCUGUCGCAGGGGCUAACGCGGGGGGAUCCUUGCAGGUGGGAGCAUUUCAGAGCGCCAAGCCAUGGUGGCCAAACAGCGGAUCCGGAUGGCUAACGAGAAGCACAGCAAAAACAUCACCCAGAGGGGGAACGUAGCCAAAACCCUGAGGCCGCAAGAGGAGAAAUAUCCUGUGGGACCAUGGCUGUUGGCACUGUUUGUUUUUGUUGUCUGUGGCUCAGAAAAGGUGUCUUUUCCAGAGGUUCCUGAUGUGCAGCCAUCCUGGGCCUUGCUCCCAGAUGGAGAAAGACUUGACCCAGCCACAGGCUGCUUCUUGGUUGGGCCACCAGUGCCCCCACUCACUCCCCUGGACACUUGCUCCAGGAAAGGCUUGAAUUGACCAUAUUUGCAGGUCAACCACAUAAACUGGCCUGUCCUGGAGAUUGCCAGAACUUUCUCAAAACUGUGACAUCCAGAGGGAGUCACCCCCCACGACCAGCAAGUGGGAUGUUUGUGGAACUGGCCAGCCCUGGAGGAGAGACUAAGGCCAUUCAUCUGCUCUGGAGUUCCAUCCUCGGGAUCUGAGAUGCACAGCCUGGAGAAGACAUGUCAUCAGAUCAUCGCUCCCUCAAGCUAUCUUUCAGAUCAUUCAGAGCAUAAGGAUGGGCAUGUGAGAAGGCCAGGGAUUUGACACCACCUCCCUCCCACUGGAGGGGGGAGGACCACAGACGCUGUCAGCCAGUUUCUGCAGGAAGCAAGCAGGCCACACGGAAUAGAAAAAAAACGCUCUCCUACUUGUUCCCUGAUCACUUCAUCGUGGAUGUCAGACCGAAUUGCCUUCUCACAGGACAUCUUGGUGCAUCCGUGUUCUCAAGCGGAAAGGACAUUUUGCUUUUCUGUUGGCAGGAUUAGUCGCCACGCGGGUCGUCCGCAGCAGUGCUGUCUUUUUGGUUUUUCCCUUGGUUUCGCUAAUGUGUGCAUGUGGCCCUCUGAAUGAUCGCUGGUUUACUUUCUAUGGAUACAGUCUCUCCUCCAUUGAGAAUUGGUUUUACAAAUAAACGUCUUCGUUCAACCUUA